GGCUGGUCCCAGUGCAGCGGUGUUUACAACUAAUUCAUCAGGCCCAGUUACAGAUUCCCUUGUUCCCUCUCCACUCCUACUUCUUCACUGACUGGCCUUAA
ensembl:misc_RNA Y_RNA Y RNA